AAGUCGAGCGCGCCUUCGGGCGAGCGGCGAACGAGUGAGUAACACGUUGGAAUCUACCCCGUACUCAGGGAUAACAUCGAGAAAUCGAUGCUAAUACCGGAUAGUCUCGUAAGAGUAAAGCUUUUGCGGUACGGGAGGAUCCUGCGGCCUAUUAGCUUGUUGGUAAGGUAAUGGCUUACCAAGGCAAUGAUGGGUAGCUGGUCUGAGAGGAUGACCAGUCACGAUGGGACUGAGACACGGCCCAUACUCC
rnacentral:rRNA from 1 species